AUAUUACUCCCUCCGUCCGGAAAUACUUGUCAUCAAAAUUAAUAAAAGAGGAUGUAUCUAGAUGUAUUUUAGUUCUACAUACAUCCUUUCCUAUCCAUUUUGAUGACAAGUAUUUUCGGACGGAGGGAGUACAUA
rfam:Triticum aestivum genome assembly, contig: Triticum_aestivum_CS42_TGACv1_scaffold_542461_6DS